GUGCGUACAAAAUGUUUCCUGUAAACAAUAAACGUGUUAUUAGUUACUUAACUACACUUAAUUUCACGACAACACAAUAAAUAAAUAGUCUCACGAUCACUUGUAAAUUUAUUUGAAAGUGAAAGUUUAUUCCAAACAUUUGGUUAUAAUGUCAUAUAAAUAUUUGAUGUGUGACAUAGUAUCCUCUUAAGAGAAUGGCAUGCCCUCACGACGUACUGUCUCCGUUAUACAACCGCGAGAAUGCGAGAAAAUAAAAAAAUUUUGUUCAGCAGGGAGAACUUCGUGCUUUUAGUUUUAAAAUUAGAGUAAAUUAACCUAUUAUCUGUGUCAUCUCGUCAUCUAAGAAAUAAUGUUUAUAAUUAUUUAAAAAUUUUCAUACGUAAACAUGGAUAAAAAUUUUAUUUUGCUAGUUGAAGUUAA